UACGUAGGUGGCAAGCGUUGUCCGGAUUUACUGGGCGUAAAGAGCGCGCAGGCGGUCGUAUAAGUCGAAUGUGAAGGCCCCCGGCUCAACUGGGGAGGGUCAUUCGAUACUGUUCGACUCGAAGGCAGGAGAGGGAAGUGGAAUUCCGGGUGUAGUGGUGAAAUGCGUAGAUAUCCGGAGGAACACCAGUGGCGAAGGCGACUUUCUGGCCUGUUCUUGACGCUGAGGCGCGAAAGCUAGGGGAGCAAACGGG
rnacentral:rRNA from 1 species